rnacentral:rRNA from 1 species
CGUAGGGUGCGAGCGUUGUCCGGAUUUAUUGGGCGUAAAGGGCUCGUAGGUGGUUGAUCGCGUCGGAAGUGUAAUCUUGGGGCUUAACCCUGAGCGUGCUUUCGAUACGGGUUGACUUGAGGAAGGUAGGGGAGAAUGGAAUUCCUGGUGGAGCGGUGGAAUGCGCAGAUAUCAGGAGGAACACCAGUGGCGAAGGCGGUUCUCUGGGCCUUUCCUGACGCUGAGGAGCGAAAAGCGUGGGGGAGCGAACAGGCUU